rnacentral:rRNA from 1 species
UACGUAGGGCGCGAGCGUUGUCCGGAAUUAUUGGGCGUAAAGAGCUCGUAGGCGGUUUGUCGCGUCGGUUGUGAAAACCCAAGGCUCAACCUUGGGCCUGCAAUCGAUACGGGCAGACUAGAGUACUGCAGGGGAGACUGGAAUUCCUGGUGUAGAGGUGAAAUUCGUAGAUAUUGGGAAGAACACCGGUGGCGAAGGCGGCUCUCUGGACCGUAACUGACGCUGAGGCGCGAAAGCGUGGGGAGCAAACAGG